rnacentral:misc_RNA from 1 species
GAUGAAAACGCAGCGAAAUGCGAUAAGUAGUGUGAAUUGCAGAAUUCAGUGAAUCAUCGAAUCUUUGAACGCACAUUGCGCCCUUUGGUAUUCCUUAGGGCAUGCCUGUUCGAGCGUCAUUUGAAACCUCAAGCUCAGCUUGGUGUUGGGUGUCUGUCCCCGCCUCACCGCGGGGACUCGCCUCAAAAUCAUUGGCGGCCGGUACGUUGGCUUCGAGCGCAGCAGAAACGCGAACUCGAGGCCCGGCGGAUCGGCGACCAGAAGUCACUUCUUCACAGUUUGACCUCGGAUCAGGUAGGGAUACCCGCUGAACUUAAGCAUAUCAAUAAGCGGAGGA